GCUCCGGGCCACCGCGGGGCCCUGCCCGAGGGGACGGCGACUGGGGGACGCGCACAGGCCGGGGAGAACGUGAGGAAGGCUCACUCACCACCAGAUCGGCAAAAGCCAGAAACUGAGCUUCACAAAGGAAGAUGCCACCUUCCAAGCUGAGACAGAAUUACCUGGAGCCUGUAGGUAUCUGUCCUACAGAUGGCCAUCUUGCUACCUGUUCCUUGAACAUUUGCGAUAUCCUGCGACACCCUGCGACACCCUGGGAUCUGCCGUGGUGCUCCAUGGCGCCUUGGCACGCGCUUUCGGAACUAUGAAUCUUGAGUGCGCUGCUCAUGAGACGCCAGGUUUUACAAGGAAAUUGAUGCCAUCAGCUUUCCCCGUACAACCUACUAUGGGGCCUUCAUCUUCCCUGCCUUGGAGGACGAAAUUUCCACCAACCUGCUUCAUCCAGAAGAUUCAGCAAGAGUUUGUUCUCAUUGUCUCCAGGCUGAGCCAUCAUCUCUCCUUUCUCCCAGAUCUUCAACUUGCCCUCUAGACCAGCUGUUUCUUUUUAGUCCAAGAGAGAGAUGCUAUUUUAAAUGAUAUUGUUUCUUUCAUUUUCCGUAUCCAUUGCCCAUUACUAGUAUGUAGAAAUGCUAUUGAUUUUAGUACACUGAUCCUGUAUCCUUCCUAAACUCACUUGUUAGGUAUAGCAGUUUUUUUCCCCCCAUAGAUUCUGUAGGAUUUUCUCCACAGACGUUGGUGUUAUCUAUGAAUAAAAACAUUUUUGCAUCUUC